rnacentral:rRNA from 1 species
CCUACGGGUGGCAGCAGUGGGGGAUAUUGCACAAUGGGGGAAACCCUGAUGCAGUGAAGCCGCGUGGGCGACGAAGUAUUUCGGUAUGUAAAGCCCUAUCAGCAGGGAAGAAGAAAUGACGGUACCUGAGUAAGAAGCACCGGCUAAAUACGUGCCAGCAGCCGCGGUCAUACGUAUGGUGCAAGUGUUAUCCGGAAUUACUGGGUGUAAAGGGGGUGUUGGCGGUACGGCAAGCCUGGUGUGAAAGCCCGCGGACCAACCGCGGGACUGCAUUGGGAACUACCGGGCUGGAGUGCCGGAGAGGUAUGCGGAAUGCCGAGUGUAGCGGUGAAAUGCGUAGAUAUUAGGAGGAACACCAGUGGCGAAGGCGGCCUACUGGACGCUGACUGACGCUGAGGCACGAAAGCGUGGGGAGCGAACAGGAUUAGAUACCCGAGUAGUC